AGAACGAACGCUGGCGGCAGGCUUAACACAUGCAAGUCGAACGGUUGUAGCAAUACAGCAGUGGCAGACGGGUGAGUAACACGUGGGAACCUUCCUAGGGGUACGGAACAACUCAGGGAAACUUGAGCUAAUACCGUAUACGUCCGUAAGGAGAAAGAUUCAUCGCCCCUAGACGGGCCCGCGUAGGAUUAGGUAGUUGGUGAGGUAACGGCUCACCAAGCCUACGAUCCUUAGCUGAUCUGAGAGGAUGAUCAGCCACACUGGGACUGAGACACGGCCCAGACUCCUACGGGAGGCAGCAGUGGGGAAUCUUGGACAAUGGGCGCAAGCCUGAUCCAGCCAUGCCGCGUGAGUGAAGAAGGCCUUCGGGUUGUAAAGCUCUUUUACCAGGGACGAUAAUGACGGUACCUGGAGAAUAGGCCCCGCAAACUUCGUGCCAGCAGCCGC
rnacentral:rRNA from 1 species